UCGAACGGACUGGUCAAUUGGGUAACUGAGAGACCAGUUAGUGGCGAAAGGGUGAGGAAUAGACAGGUGACGUACCUCAAGCUUCGGGAUAAUGUCGUGUCCGCAAGGAUACUACCGAAAGGGACACUAAUACCGGAUAACGUGGUCUUCUUAAGUGAGGAUUACCAAAGAUUUAUCGGCGUGAGAGCGGCCUAUCUCCUAUCAGCUAGUUGGUGAGGUAAUGGCUCACCAAGGCAAUGACGGGUAGCGGGACUGAGAGGUUGGCCCGCCACAUCGGGACUGAGACACUGCCCGGACCUCCACGGAGGGCUGCAGUAACGAAUAUUGGGCAAUGGGCGAAAGCCUGACCCAGCGACGCCGCGUGCGGGAGGAAGUUCCUCGGAAUGUAAACCGCUGUCAGGGUGAAGAAAGACCGCAAGGUUUGAUCUAACCCAGAGGAAGCAACGGCUAACUUCGUGCCAGCAGCCGCGGUAAUACGAAGGUUGCAAGCGUUGUUCGGAAUCACUGGGCUUAAAGCGUAUGUAGGCGGAUGAGUAAGCGUUUUGUGAAAUCCCUCGGCU
rnacentral:rRNA from 1 species